CCUCCAUGAUGGGUUUGUCAUGCGUGAGAAAGAAGGGAUAUAUGUUUAUAAAAACAUAUGUUAAGCAAGGAUUUUACUCUAUCUACAAAGGUCCAACUGCAUGUUUGAACACUUGAAGAAGAAUUGUGCAUCUACAAAAACAUGAUUUAGUUCAGUCGUGGUUCGUGAUACAUGAUGUUGUAUGAUCUCGAUCUUCUUGUUUAUCGAGGAAAUAUUAUUUUUGCCAAGGAAAUAGCCAUCUCAUAUAGUUGUCGUCAAACGAUGGUAAGAGCUUUGGAGUCAUCUAGUUUAAGAGGGCAACAGCCAACAUGAGAGUUCGACCCAAUCAUGAGGCUCGAUGAUGAUCCUGACGUACUAGAAGACCCGUGUGCUUCCAUGUUUAUCUAGUUUUAAUUAGUAAGGUUAGUUAAAUUUAUGACUAAAUUAAUCUCAAUUAUUUCAAGUUACAAAAUUAUAUUUGACGUGGCAAAAAUAUGUCACGUCAUUCGUCU